GUACUGUAUGGGGAGGUAGAGAGAGAGAGGUACAGUAUGGAGAGGUAGAGAGAGAGAGAGAGAGAAAGAGAUGUACAGAAUAGAGGUAGAGAGAGAGGUACUGUAUAGAGAGGUAGAGAGAGAGGUUCUGUAUAUGAAGGUAGAGAGAGAGAGAGAGAGAGAGAGAGAGAGAGAGAGAGAGAGAGAGAGAGAGAGGUACUGUAUUGGGAGGUAGAGAGUGUGUAUGUGUGUAAGGUAAGCCAACAUUUCAAGUCAGAGGUCUUCUCAGAGAGAGAUAGAGGUCGUCUCAGAGAGAGUUAGAGUUCUUC
rnacentral:lncRNA from 1 species